rnacentral:rRNA from 1 species
GACGAACGCUGGCGGCGUGCUUAACACAUGCAAGUCGAGCGGAGCGGCGAACGGGUGAGUAACGCGUGAGUAACUGCCCCCCUCUCUGGGUUAACAGUUGGAAACGGCUGCUAAUACCGGAUAGUGGGGGAUGACUCGUGUCCUAUGAGCUUGUUGGUGGGGUAGUGGUCUACCAAGGGGACGACGGGUAGCCGGCCUGAGGGGGCGACCGGCCACAUGAGGCUGAGGUACGGACCAGACGCCAACGGGAGGCAACGGUGGAGAGUAUUGCGCAGUGGCGGAGACCCUGAGGCGGCAGCGCCGGGGGCGGGAAGACGGGCUUCUGGUUGUAAACCGCUAUCAGCGAUGACGCGGUAGUGGCAGAAGAAGCACCGGCUAACUACGUGCCAGCAGCCGCGGUAAUAC